AUCGGAAUGUACCAUAUCUUGAUUCAGAAAUUUAAGCUAGAGUAUUUUCGGAGAGUUACUGCUGUUGGAUAUUCUUGUGUGGUGUUUGGUUGGAUGACGAUUCUUUCGGUCAAGCAACCGUCGUCAAAGUUGAAUCUUUUUGGUUUUCUUUCACUUCCGAUCAGCUUUGCGCCAUUUGAGUCGCUCAUAUUCACUUCCAUUAUUGUUCCUCAAGCGAGUUUUAUUGGACAUUUAUCGGGAAUUAUUGUUGGUUAUGCUGUUGGUUGGGGUUUGA
rnacentral:misc_RNA from 1 species